rnacentral:rRNA from 1 species
UAACACAUGCAAGUCGAACGGUAACAGGAAGCAGCUUGCUGCUUUGCUGACGAGUGGCGGACGGGUGAGUAAUGUCUGGGAAACUGCCUGAUGGAGGGGGAUAACUACUGGAAACGGUAGCUAAUACCGCAUAACGUCGCAAGACCAAAGAGGGGGACCUUCGGGCCUCUUGCCAUCGGAUGUGCCCAGAUGGGAUUAGCUAGUAGGUGGGGUAACGGCUCACCGUAGCGACGAUCCCUAGCUGGUCUGAGAGGAUGACCAGCCACACUGGAACUGAGACACGGUCCAGACUCCUACGGGAGGCAGCAGUCGGGAAUAUUGCACAAUGGGCGCAAGCCUGAUGCAGCCAUGCCGCGUGUAUGAAGAUAGGCCUUCGGGUUGUAAAGUACUUUCAGCGGGGAGGAAGGCGACAGGGUUAAUAACCCUGUCGAUUGACGUUACCCGCAGAAGAAGCACCGGCUAACUCCGUGCCAGCAGCCGCGGUAAUACGGAGGGUGCAAGCGUUAAUCGGAAUUACUGGGCGUAAAGCGCACGCAGGCGGUCUGUCAAGUCGGAUGUGAAAUCCCCGGGCUCAACCUGGGAACUGCAUUCGAAACUGGCAGGCUAGAGUCUUGUAGAGGGGGGUAGAAUUCCAGGUGUAGCGGUGAAAUGCGUAGAGAUCUGGAGGAAUACCGGUGGCGAAGGCGGCCCCCUGGACAAAGACUGACGCUCAGGUGCGAAAGCGUGGGGAGCAAACAGGAUU